UACGGAGGGUGCAAGCGUUAUCCGGAUUCACUGGGUUUAAAGGGUGCGUAGGAGGGCAGGUAAGUCAGUGGUGAAAUCCCCGAGCUUAACUUGGGAACUGCCGUUGAUACUAUCUGUCUUGAAUACCGUGGAGGUGAGCGGAAUAUGUCAUGUAGCGGUGAAAUGCUUAGAUAUGACAUAGAACACCAAAUUGCGAAGGCAGCUCGCUACACGAAUAUUGACCUCUGAAGGCACGAAAAGCGUGGGGAUCAAAACAGGGAUUAGAUACCCCGGG
rnacentral:rRNA from 1 species